rnacentral:rRNA from 1 species
UACGUAGGGGGCUAGCGUUAUCCGGAUUUACUGGGCGUAAAGGGUGCGUAGGUGGUUUCUUAAGUCAGGAGUGAAAGGCUACGGCUUAACCGUAGUAAGCUCUUGAAACUGGGAAACUUGAGUGCAGGAGAGGAAAGUGGAAUUCCUAGUGUAGCGGUGAAAUGCGUAGAUAUUAGGAGGAACACCAGUAGCGAAGGCGGCUUUCUGGACUGUAACUGACACUGAGGCACGAAAGCGUGGGGAGCAAACAGGAUUAGAUACCCCCGUAGUCCCUGAGCGGGCUGGCAA